rnacentral:rRNA from 1 species
GGAGGGAUCAUUGAAACCGAUCAAACCAACCCCAGCGAACCUGCGGGCUCCGGCCCGCCGUACACGGAACCGCCGGCGGGGGCUUAACCCCCCCCGCCGCGCGGCGCCGAAACCCAUGAAACCGCCCGCCCUGAAGCAGCUUCGUAUGGGGACACCCCUGCGAUCUAACAGAGACAACUCUCAACAACGGAUAUCUUGGCUCUCGCAACGAUGAAGAACGCAGCGAAAUGCGAUACGUAGUGUGAAUUGCAGAAUUCCGUGAGUCAUCGAAUCUUUGAACGCACAUUGCCGGUCGAAUCUUCGGAUGAGACCACAUCUGCCUCAGCGUCGGAAUAACCCCUCACGCGCUUGCGCGUGGACCUGGCCCCCCCGGCCGCCGGCCCCGUGCCGGCAGCCGGGCUGGCUGAAAUGCAGAGGCUCGUGCGCGGCCCAUUCGCGGCCCCGACUAGGUAGGUAGCUCGCUACUGCUAGGCGGAGGCUCGGCGUCGCGUGCUGUGAGCCACGAGGGAUACCCAUCCAUUCAUUCGACCUGAGUUCAGGUGAGGCUACCCGCUGAACUUAAGC